UAAUCCGCGCUUUCCAAAGCGCGGGUCAAAAUCUAGUUUUCAGUAAAAAGAAAAUCAAAAAAGAUUUGAUAAUAGAAGCGUCGUAGCUUAAUUAAGGUCCAGAAGGAACGUUGCUUACGGACACGUGUGGGCAAGUGAGUGGAGAGAGAGGAGAGGUGGCUUCGUCACUCUUCGUGAACUCUCCCGUGUGACGAUGGAGCUCGUCUGCGAGAGUUUGGGGUUCAAAGGCAAAGGAAUCUGCAAAGUCCACGGCACAGUCUUCGUCGUCAUAUGCGACCGUGCUCUUCCCGGCGAGCGUUUCCUCGGCUGCGUCACUCGCCGCAAAGGUGACAAAGAUCAAGACUUUAACUCCACACCGUGACUUAGUAGAAGCUCCGUGUGAGUAUGCUUCCUACUGUGGUGGCUGCAAAGCUCAGAACCUCUCCUACGAAGCUCAGCUUAGAGCUAAAGAUGAACAAGUUCAUGAGCUUAUCACGCAUAUCGGAAGGUUCUCUGAUAACAGUCCUGGUCUCGAAACGGUCUUGAAGGCUAUUGUUCCCUGUGAUAUCCAGUUUUGAUUUGUUCUGUGGAGAGAAACAUGAGGAAGGUUCAUCGAUACUAUUGCAAUAGAGGUUUGUUUUACUAAUUCUUCUGAUGCUGUAGCUUCUGUAGAUUAAUAUAAGUUUGCCAAACAGGUGUGUAAGUGUGGUUAAUGUUAGAUAGAAAAGUGUUAGUGUGAUAAAUGAGUUAGAUAGAAACCAUUGUGUAAGUGUGAUUAAUGAGAUAGAUAGAAACGAAUGUGUAAGUGUGGUUAAUGAGUUAGCUAAAUGUCAAGUCCAUUUGGUUGUGUGUGUGUGAUGAAUGCAUUUCUCUUUUUCUCCUCUAUUAAACUGAAUCCUUCUUUUGUUCCAUCUAUCAAAAGAAGAAGCUCAUCUGUUUAAGUGUAUUUUUAAGGUUUCUUGAGUUGUUUGUUAUAUGUUUCAUGUUCUUCAUUGUUGUCUGUUUCAUGUUUAGUUUAGGAGAAUGAUAUCUUGUUUGUUGUUCUGUGUUCUGUUUCAUGUUUAAGUAAUGAGAAUGAUAACUUGUUUGUUGUUCUGUUCUCUGUUUCAUGUUUAAGUAAUGACAAUGAUGAGUCUGAAAAAAUUUCAUCUCUCA